rnacentral:rRNA from 1 species
CAGAGGUAAACGGGUGGAUCCGCAAAGUCGGUCCGCUGAAUUCAGCUCGGCCUGCGGUUCGGAGCGGCGCGUUUCGGGAUCCCUGGGACCCGGGCGCGCUUCUGNCGCCGGACCCGGCCGUGUGCACUUUCGGCGGGCAGAGCGCCACGAUCGGCUUCSCGGCGGUCAGAAGCCCGGGAGGAAGGUAGGUGUCGGUCUGACCGGCACUGUUAUAGCCUCCCGAGGUGGACCGUUGUGGGGCCGAGGAACGACCGCCGCUGACGGCUACCCGUUCAUCGGGGCGAGUUCGACUGGCAGGGACUGGGCAACCGUGCCUGCCGACCGCUCGUCUCGACCGACCGGGACAGCCUGGCGGCACUGGGUCUGUGGCGAAUCUGUCGGCAUUCCACCCGA